rnacentral:rRNA from 1 species
UACGGGGGGGGCAAGCGUUGUUCGGAAUUACUGGGCGUAAAGGGCUCGUAGGUGGCCAACUAAGUCAGACGUGAAAUCCCUCGGCUUAACCGGGGAACUGCGUCUGAUACUGGAUGGCUUGAGUUCGGUAGGGGAGAUCGGAAUUCCUGGUGUAGCGGUGAAAUGCGCAGAUAUCAGGAGGAACACCGGUGGCGAAGGCGGAUCUCUGGGCCGAUACUGACGCUGAGGAGCGAAAGCGUGGGGAGCGAACAGG